GAAGCUGGCUGGCUGAGAAUAAGAAAAUACAGUAUGUGAGCACUUGGAGGAGAAACUGUAGGUUGCAAUAGUGGAAGGGAGGAGGAUUUUGAGCAAAAGAAGAAACUUGUGUUGUUAGGAGCUGCGACCACGCUAUUCAUUGCCUGAGUAGCCAAGCAUGUUAAGGUUUCUGCUGGAAAGGAAGACAUCACUUUCUAGAAAUAUCUCUAUGAAAUGGCUCGCACAGACUGUGGACCAGGGAAGGAUGAUGCUACAGAUGCACGGUCUCUCCAAGGCACCAACUGAAUCAAGCAUCUGUGUAGAGAGAAGAGAUUCAGCCCCAAGAUGAGAUCCAGGAAUCUAGGAUGUACUCAGGGAGAUGAAGACUACAGCCUACUCAUUCUGUCACUUUAUGCCCCCCUCUUUCUCCUCUCACUCUCUCAGUAUGGUGCAUUAUAGAACAACAAAGAGAGAAAAGGAAAUGAAGACCAUGAGCCUUGCAUAAUAAAUAUUAACUGAGAAGUACCUGGAUCUUAUGAGAAAUAUAUACCUUAUUAAAAAAAGCCAUGCUCUUCAAACUGGCCAGGAUUUAAGUGAUUUCCAGUGAGUACCUUACAAGAAUUCUUCUCAUGUGUGGAGGAGAAGUUCAACACCAUAAAUGGAUGUGGUACAGCGCCCCAGAGGGAAUUACAAUGAAAGUGAAAUCCAAAGAAUUCCAAGAGAACCACACCUGCAGAUCAUGCUCCAUUCAUUUGUGUACUUCCCCCUACUCAGUCUUUAAACCCACAGUGUAGCAAUUUCCAAAGGGAGCUCAAUGCAUAGAUCCCAGGCCCCUUCAUAUGAGCUCAUGGUUGUAUAAACCUCAGUGUCCAUAUCCUACUGAAACUCUGCCCAGAGGAAAGCAUGUGUUUUCUCAGAACUACUUAUUUUGCUCUUAGAUUAUUUUUAAAAUUUUACUCUUAGAUAUUUAUUGACCUUGAUAAUAUACUAAACUGUUUUUGUUUGUUUGUAUGUUUGUAUUUUAUUGUGGUUAUGUUCUCUUUAAGGUCCAUUACAGUGUUGGAAAACAGUGUAUUCUCUAAAUAAAAAAGAGAAAAAUUUAAA